GUGCAGGGGAGGCUGGGAGACACAGCCUUGCCGUGUGCUCGGACAGAGGACACAGACCAGUGAGUACGCAGCGCUGUCUCUCCCGCAGGGACUCACGUGGCCGGAGCCCAGAAAGAGAAGCUCGCUUAAAAUGCCACCUGGGGCUAGUGGCUACCAGAUUGGACAGCCCGGCUCUAAAGCAAAGCCCAUGAGAAAAUGCAGGCCUGGCAUAUGCUCCAACUUGCCGUGUCCCGCCAUCAGACACCACAUACCGCAUACAUGUCCCCGUCCUCAACAAGAAGAGAAACUCAUUUCACACCAUUAGACGUUUCAAAACGGAGCUCCAUCAUUUACUCAAGCCCCACCCCACCUGAGGAUCCAGUGUCACAGCCGCCACCAGUGCUGAAAAGAACAGAGGCAGCUUUUCCACACCUGCAAUGACUGAUUUGCACCAAACCGCUCUAAUUAGCACAUUCCACGCUAUGAUUAGGCUUCCAGGGGAAACAUGCCAAAUGCCAUUAAUUAUGGAUGUGAUCUUACAUUAUUCACUUGGAAUGUUUGUUUUUCUUCCUUGAUGUGCCCCUUUCAUCUCCCACUAACUCCUUGUCACACCCAAGAAUAGAUCCAAUUAAGCCUCCAAAAGCGGGACUUUGUUAUGUUAAAGAAAAUGUAAA